rnacentral:miRNA from 1 species
GGCUGGGCUGGGCUGGGCUGGGCUGGGCAGCAGAUUGGGGUCCUUUAGGACCUGUGGGUCCUUGUGGCCCUGCCUGAGCU